AAUAAAUCUGAUAAAGUUGUUGCUGGCUCUAGAGCAUGUGCACACUUGUCAUCUUUAUAUUUCCACCUUUGUGCAUCUUUUGUAGGCCUGGAUAUCAGGUUUGAGGAUUGAUUUUAAAUAAUCUUUCUUUACAUUUGCAGGCCUAUGUUUUCUUCAUAUUAUAUAUAUGCCCCAUUGUAUGUUCUAGAAUGUAAUAAAAUGGGCCUUUGUGCCUAUAAACAUUUAAUACAACUUUCAGCAACGGAUCUCUUGGCUCUCGCAUCGAUGAAGAACGCAGCGAAAUGCGAUAAGUAAUGUGAAUUGCAGAAUUCAGUGAAUCAUCGAAUCUUUGAACGCACCUUGCGCUCCUUGGUAUUCCUUGGAGCAUGCCUGUUUGAGUGUCAUUUGUAUAUCAACCUCUUCAACCUUUGGCUUGUUGAGUGUUGGAUGUGGGGGGUUUUGCUGGUUUCUCUCUUGAGGUCAGCUCUCCUGAAAUGCAUUAGUUGAACAAUUUGCAGACCUUGUUCAUUGGUGUGAUAAUUAUCUACGCUAUUAACAACAAAGCAAGCUCAGCUUCUAACAGUCCAUUGACUU
rnacentral:misc_RNA from 1 species